rnacentral:rRNA from 1 species
UGCCAGCCGCCGCGGUAAUACGAAAGGUGCAAGCGUUGUUCGGAAUAACUGGGCGUAAAGCGCUCGUAGGCUGGAGAUCAAGUCGAUUGUGAAAGCCCAGGGCUCAACCUUGGAAUUGCAGUCGAAACUGAUUUUCUUGAAUACCUGAGAGGGUGGGGGAAUUCCUAGUGGAGAAGUGAAAUUCGUAGAGAUUAGGAGGAACACCAGAGGCGAAGGCGCCUACCUGGCAGUGUAUUGACGCUGAGGAGCGAAAGUGUGGGGAGCAAACAGGAUUAGAUA